rnacentral:rRNA from 1 species
UACAGAGUUCAUGCCCGAAAGGGUAGACCUCCCACCCUUGUGUAUUAUUACUUUGUUGCUUUGGCGAGCUGCCUUCGGGCCUUGUAUGCUCGCCAGAGAAUACCAAAACUCUUUUUAUUAAUGUCGUCUGAGUACUAUAUAAUAGUUAAAACUUUCAACAACGGAUCUCUUGGUUCUGGCAUCGAUGAAGAACGCAGCGAAAUGCGAUAAGUAAUGUGAAUUGCAGAAUUCAGUGAAUCAUCGAAUCUUUGAACGCACAUUGCGCCCCUUGGUAUUCCGGGGGGCAUGCCUGUUCGAGCGUCAUUUCAACCCUCAAGCUUAGCUUGGUAUUGAGUCUAUGUCAGUAAUGGCAGGCUCUAAAAUCAGUGGCGGCGCCGCUGGGUCCUGAACGUAGUAAUAUCUCUCGUUACAGGUUCUCGGUGUGCUUCUGCCAAAACCCAAAUUUUUCUAUGGUUGACCUCGGAUCAGGUAGGGAUACCCGCUGAACUUAAGCAUA